rnacentral:misc_RNA from 1 species
UUAUUACAUCUGAAACGGGCACCACUGCAUGACCAAAGAAAUGCCAUUAGAAGUUUGAUGGCAAAGAAAUGCAAUUAGAAGUUUGAUGAUAUAUCUAACUAAUAAUUCAAAGACAAAGUUGUCUACAUUUUCAAGAUUUAUGUAGGUACUGGUGCCGUAAGGUAUGACCAACUUACCUAUGAUGCUGAAGUCAUGACAUAAUUGUCUUUCACUCUUAGGAAAUGGCUAUUCAACUUUGUAGCAAAUUGCUAACUUAUCAUCACAGGUUUCACGGGGAAAUUUUACAAUUCAUGGUGAUUGCGAAAUAGACAUGUGCAUACAAUAUAGCUCCAAGAUAGUUCAUCAGAAGCUUAUUAUAAAGCUACAUGUUCCAAAAAGAGGGUAUGCUCAUAUUGGCUUAUGUUUGCCAUUAGCCAACUGCUCAUGUCCAAUGAGAAUUAAGAAAGUAAGAAGCAAUGAGUAAGAAAACAUAUAAGCCACACUCUCCGAUCUAAUCUCCAACUCAAGCAGUUACUUAUGGCUAGAAUGAAUCUACACACAGAUAGUACAGUUAGAUAUUUCAUGUUAAUACAGUUGUGUCAGCAUAGAAAAUGCAGAAUUUCUGAUUAAGCAACCAAGGCUAGCACCUUUACCAUUAUUACAAUGCUUGAGCAAGAUUUCUGGAAUACAGGUGAGAAGUACAAUACAAGCUCGCGCGCGCGCACACACACACACA